rnacentral:lncRNA from 1 species
CUUCAACUUCUCCGCUGAUAUCGCCGCGGUCAGUCAGGGGAUAAGGUUUCGGGGCCACCUGCCAGCGACCCAGUCGGAACCUUACUUAAACCCCAGUGGCAAGGGUUUUUCGUUACGCCCGCCGGAUCUUUUGCCUUUGCUUCGUCCUCCUCGCCGCCUCCAGCGCACCUAACCUCUCCACUCCUCCUUCCGCUCCGCGGAUUCGCAGCUUCUGCCAUGACCAAGGGUCA